rnacentral:rRNA from 1 species
UACGUAGGGUGCAGGCGUUAAUCGGAAUUACUGGGCGUAAAGCGUGCGCAGGCGGCUCCUUAAGUCAGAUGUGAAAGCCCCGGGCUUAACCUGGGAACUGCGGUUGAAACUGGGGAGCUAGAGUGUAGAAGAGGGGGGUGGAAUUCCAGGUGUAGCAGUGAAAUGCGUAGAUAUCAUUUGGAACGCCGAUGGUGAAAACAGGUAGCUGGGGAUGAGCUGACACUGAGACACGAAAGCCAGGGGAGCAAACGGG